CAUAUGCUCUAGGGAGUGCUCGCACCAGGGAUGACCGGCUUGUGGCAGCCAAGCGUUCAUAGCGACGUUGCUUUUUGAUCCUUCGAUGUCGGCUCUUCCUAUCAUACUGAAGCAGAAUUCAGUAAGCGUUGGAAUGUUCACCAACUAAUAGGGAAAGUGAGCUGGGUUUAGACCGUCGUGAGACAGGUUAGUUUUAUCCUACUGAUGAAAUGUUGUUGCAAUAGUAAUUGAACUUAGUAUGAGAGGAACCGUUCAUUCGGAUAAUUGGUAUUUGGGCCUGCCUGAGCAGGCAAUGGCCGGAAGCUAUCAUCCAUUGGGUCAUGGCUGAACGCCUCUAAGUCAGAACCCGUGCUAGAACACGUCGAUUACCGCCUUGUGCCAUUUUUAGUUGAAUACGAAUAGACCUACAGUCCAGAAUCUUACGAAUGUGGGAUUAUCUUGCAGAGCGGAAAGGCUUUGUGAGGUUCCUGCUAAUGUUAAUUUCAAGUAUUGGAAGAGAUAAAUCCAUUACGGACGACUUUAAUUGAACGGGGUAUUGUAAGCAGUAGAGUAGCCUUGUUGCUACGAUCUGCUGAGAUUAAGCCCAUUGUUCUAUAGCCUU
rnacentral:ncRNA from 1 species